UACGAAGGGGGCUAGCGUUGCUCGGAAUCACUGGGCGUAAAGCGCACGUAGGCGGAUUGCUAAGUCAGGGGUGAAAUCCUGGAGCUCAACUCCAGAACUGCCUUUGAUACUGGCGAUCUCGAGUCCGGGAGAGGUGAGUGGAACUCCUGGUGUAGCGGUGGAAUGCGCAGAUAUCAGGAAGAACACCAACGGCGAAGGCAGCUCGCUGGGACGGUACUGACGCUGAGACGCGAAAGCGUGGGGAGCGAACAGG
rnacentral:rRNA from 1 species